AAAGCAGGACAUGGAUAAAUGAGAGAAGACAAGGUAUUGCUCCUGCGAGCAGAACAUCCUGUCUUCAAAAUGGAUUUAACUCCUAAAAGCUCCAUGGGGUCCUUUCUACACUGAGGAUAUUCACUAAGGAUUUCCCACUGUGGUGAACACUUCUUCAGCUCCACCAGUAUGGCACAGCAGAGAACUCCCACUCAUGUUUUUGAUCCUUUAGUCUAUUACAAUGUCUUCCAACUUCGCUAAUGUCAGUGGAGCAGAGCCAACAGCGAGGCAUUUUUAGAAAGCUUCUUUUACAGGGACAAAGUUUUCAUCUCCUUUGCCAAGUCCAGGGUGUCCUACCUUGAAUCCCCUUCUCUCUGUUGUCUGGCUGUUCUUUUAAGAGCCCCUCUGUCCUCUUCACAUCAUCAGCACUGUAUGUGCCCAUCGUGGUUUGUAACGGUACAUACUCCUACCUUUCAGUGGCUGUCUCUUCAGGAAUAGAAAUCCUUGUCACAACCAGUACAAAUGAUUCACCAUUACUAUCAGUCUGCUGACAACAGCCAUUCUUGGAAAAUGGUUACAUGAAUUUCUGGAAACCCUAAAAAUAAACAAAUUUGGCUCCAUUAACAGGAAUGGUAAAUUCAGACUGCAAACCCACUUGACUACGCCAGUGCAUUUAAUUAAAUUGUUUUGCUAUUACGCUGAUAAGCAGAGAUAUGACUGUUGCUAGUAGAUGUAAUAGUUUCUAUUCUUGUUGCCUCAUAGCACCUUAAUUAAAUUACAAUUGUUCUGUUGGAAAACAUGUCUGUGAACACCUCUAGGUAGACAACACAGGAAAAUAUUCCUAGCAAUAUAAAAAUCAGGAAUGUGAUAUUGCAUGGUAGACAGGAUAAAAAGGAACUGGGUUAAGAUUGCAGUAGGGAAGAUUCAGAUUUGCUUUAAGAAAAACCCAAUUGUGAAUCAUUGGAAUAUAUAAUCUGGAUUUUCCCAUACUGAAUUAUCUUCUAGUACAGGUUAAAUGAACAGUUGACAGGAACGACACAGGCAUAAUUGGUCCUGCUUUGUUACACACCGAUAACUGAGGUUGAGGACCCUUUCAUCUCUUUUUCUGUAUGGUUGUGCUUUGCUUUAAAUUUCUAAAAAAUGAAGUAAAUUCCUGCUCUCAUUUA